AAUAAAUCGCAAUUUUUUACUUACCGUUACGCAGUGAAAUGCAACUGGACACCGCUUCGGGCAUAGUUGAACCAGCCGCCAAGAAGAGAGAAUAAAUUCCCCCUUUACUCACCAUAUCGCUUCGAUAUGCAGCAAUUCAUCUUAUCCUCGACGAAAACACGUAUGGCAGGCAUAAAUUUGUUAUUGUUAAACGUAAGCAAAUAAUAGAAAAUGAGGAAACCCAUCAUGAUGCAUGAUUCGGUGAAGCUAACAUAGCCACCCCAGGCGAGUAUAAUGAGUACAAUCGUAUUAAAACUAUAUAUGACACAAUCACGUGCAAUGGGCCACCAAUCGAGUUGGACGGGCUGUAGAAGAGAGUUAAAAACGGAAGGGAAGCUUAAUAUGUGAAAUGAGCAAUAGAAAUAGUGUUGCCUUACCUUUUUAAUGCACAAUGCGCCCAGCGCAGCCACGCCCAAUGUAUUGAACAUCAGCGAACCGAUGAUCGUGCCCAAACCCAUAUCCGAAUCUGUGAUAAGUGUACUUAUCGUAUUCGUAAAGAAUUCGGGCAUUGAAGUGGCGGUGGCCAUAAAAGUCGCUGCAGCGACAUCUUUGGAUAAAUUCAAAUCUUCACAGAUACACUCAACGGUGGGCAGGAAAUAGUCAUUACAAAUAAUAGCGAGCAAUAUGAAGAAAUAGAUAGCAGCAAAGACAUGCAACACGACCCAGCCUUGACGCAGUUGCUCCACUGUGCGGAGAAGAAAAAGUGUUAAAUAAGUUAUUUACUUCAGCGCAUAAGCAGCCAAGCUUGAGUUAAGCAAUAAACAGCAAGUGUGAAGGCAGCGACACUUUAUUAAAACGCAAGGUGACUCAUCUGAUAAUAAACCACGGACUAGCCACCUGAACGAGCAUCAUACUUGUGUUGGAGUUUGGAGCUUAAAGCUCAUGAUACAGCCAGAAAUGUUUUAUGGAUCUGAGCUUUUUUUGUUUUUGUUGCUUACAUUGUAGUGCUUCUGAGGUGGCAGUUCUUCCGUUAAUUUGUUGCUGUUUCGAGUUACUUCCUCGAUAAUGGCAUCAUAAAAUGCAGGACACGGAUGUUUUGGAGCAAUCAUCAAGUCUACAAUGCACUGGAGAGAAUAAACUCAUAUCAGCUGGUCCAUAGCAUUCUAGAACGGCGAUUAUGACAGCCAAGAAUCAACUUUUUAAAGCUCAAUACUUUGAAAGAUGGUUUUCAACGAUUUUUUUUUUAACUGAAAACUCAGAUGAAACUGCUAUGAAGAUAUUCAAGAAUGACAACUAAUCAACAAUAAUGGCUGGGACCGACAUGCUCACACCGAAUGCUCCAUUUUCUGACAUAUGGAAAAGCGAACAAAUCUUUGGGAUUGAACGGUUAAGAAAUGGAGGAAUAAUCAAAAGAAGCUUAAUACUAGUUACUAAGUCUGAAGAGGAUUACUCUUUUUUACUGCGAUUUUGGAUGAUGCAAUUAUAAAACCAAAACACCAAAUAUAUAUGUAAAUCGUUAGUUAUCUUAGAUUUGUUAAGAUCAACAAAAUGUUAUUAUAUUUUUCGACACUGUAUAUAAACACAAUUUUAAGUUAAAAUGCGCACAAACCACGGCUUCUCCUGAAUAGACAGAUGACGACUAAUUAGACUAAGAUUAAAAAUACAAUUAAAAAAAACAAAGAGUAAAGUAAUGAAAAUGAUUAAAAAGUAAAACAAAAAAAUAAUAAAUAUUGAAAUUUGCAAAAAAAAAUCUGAAAAAAAUCACAAAAAUGUACUAAAAAUUAAGUUGAAAUUGUAGAAGGAAACAUUGUUAUGAUUUCU